AUGGGCAAGACGCAAGACGAUGCAGUACAAGCCCUUGGAAUUCUACCAAAUCUUGCAGUUCUAUGCCUGAGGGAGGACUCGUUCGAUGGGACACAGCUCCAUUUCCAGAGCUCAUCUUUCCCGAGUCUCAUGGUGCUGGAGUUGUUUUUGUUAGAGAAGCUGAAGUCGGCACUGUUUGAAAAAGACGCAAUGCCUAAGCUGGAGCUGCUACUAGUAGGUUGGUGCUACAAGCUGGAUGCAUUUUGCGGGCAGGCAGCCCUCACAAGCCUCAAGGAAGUUCGGUUGGGUGGUUUUCCUCUCAGUGAAACAGUGAAGGAAUCAGUGCAGAGGCAGGUAGCGGAGCAUAUGAAGCACGUCAGAGUGAAUAUUGUUGAAUAA
rnacentral:rRNA from 1 species